rnacentral:lncRNA from 1 species
AGCGAUCACCAAAUUCCCACUCCCCCCAAAUAUAUAUAUACUUAAUGGAAUCAUUUCUUCUCUAGUUCAGCUUAUAACAGAAAAGCGGUUAUCAUCUUCUCGAAAGCUUUCAUUUCAUUGGUUGAAUAUGACGAAGAAGCUUUUCCAAAAGGUUUGCAGGGCACAUGUCGAGCAAUUUCUUAGCUCAACACUUGAAAAGAAAAUUACACCAACUUUUCUGAAAUGGGCAGAACACAUAAACAAGGUAAAUAAGAAAAUUGCUACCCUAUUUUGAUUUUACACAAUCGUUAAUUCUCACAAUUUCAUCUCUUCUCGUUCAGAAGCCUGAAGGAGGCAGAUAUGUUAACUUUGACAUUACUCCAAUUGUCCAAGAAAUGGGGAAAACUGCAUCCGACGAUUUUGUUUAUAUACAUAGGUGUCCUACACUGCAGUGAGAGCUUAUGAACAGAUGCAAUCAGGGGUUCAUAAAUAAAAUUUGUUUUCAUCUC